UGGGGAAUAUUGCACAAUGGAGGGAACUCUGAUGCAGCGACGCCGCGUGAACGAAGAAGGCUUUCGAGUCGUAAAGUUCUUUUAUAUGGGAAGAUAAUGACGGUACCAUAAGAAAAAGCCCCGGCUAACUACGUGCCAGCAGCCGCGGUAAUACGUAGGGGGCUAGCGUUGUCGGGAAUCACUGGGCGUAAAGGGUUCGCAGGCGGAAAUGCAAGUCAGGUGUAAAAGGCAGUAGCUUAACUACUGUAAGCAUUUGAAACUGCAUAUCUUGAGAAGAGUAGAGGUAAGUGGAAUUUUUAGUGUAGCGGUGAAAUGCGUAGAUAUUAAAAAGAAUACCGGUGGCGAAGGCGACUUACUGGGCUCAUUCUGACGCUGAGGAACGAAAGCGUGGGUAGCAAACAGG
rnacentral:rRNA from 1 species